rnacentral:lncRNA from 1 species
AAGUGAUCAAGCAGGUUCUGGUAAGGCCCGACUCCGGUCACUAGUCCCUGGAUGAAGUAACCGAGGAUGGCGAGCAUAGCCAGUCUACCGUUCUUGACCUCCUUGAGUUUCAACUCUUUCAUUGACUUCUCAUCUUUCCCAAACCCAAGAGGGUUGAAGAAAGGUCCACCGGGGUAUGAUGGGUCACCUGAACCGGCCAAACCCUUCUCUAACCCCAAGAAGUACUGUUUCCCCAUAGAUCCUGGGUUGUACCAGUCCUGUAACCUCCUGUGCUCAGCAAAUCCCAUCAGAGCCAUCUCAAGAACAAAGAGUGUGUAAUUGUCUGCCCAGUAGCUGUAUGUCCCUGCAGGUGGAAUCACACCGGUUUGGAACCAGGGAAGAGCUGUCUCUGCGGGAAUCAGACCAGCCUUUCCUAGAAUCUCAGGAGCAAUAGCUCCAGCUGCACCCAACAUGGCGAACCGUCCGUUGAUGAUCUCUCCGUAUGCUAGCCAUCUCGGCUCAAUGAAUCCUCCGGUUCCCUCUGGGUCUGAGAGACCAAGUGGGUCGAAUCCAUAGUCACCAGGUAAGCUGUAAGAAUCACAACAUUUCCAAAUCUUUUGAACAUCAUGUAAGUUCUCAAAGCAAUCAAAUCCAACAGUGUAUUUAAGAAUUACCUGCCAUCCAAGUAAGUGAGACUCUGCGAUGAUGCAAACCACAAUGGUCUGUUUGCUCCUUGCUGAGAUACCAAAACACACAAAAAUCAAGAUCAGGUUAUGUAAUGCAUAUAGAGAGACAGAGAAAGAGAUAGAUCUGUGUGAAAGAUACCUUGACAGGUGGAGUUGAAGCAGCCUUAACAACAAAGGAGCUCUUCUUCUGUGAGGCAGACACAGCUGGUUUUGAGCCAAAAAUCUGUCUAGCUGUCUGAACAGAGGAG